UCCCUGGUAGUAUAUCGGUUAGUACACGCGCCUGUCAUCUGGGUGCAUCACCGCGCGAAAGCUGGGUUCGACUCCCAGCCAGGGAG